UGUGUCACCCCACGGCCUUUCCUUGUAGGGUGCACGCGGUCUCCCUGGAACUGCUGGUCUGCCGGGCAUGAAGGGACACAGAGGCUUCAGUGGUUUGGAUGGUGCCAAGGGUGAGCCUGGCCCCGCUGGUCCCAAGGGUGAGCCUGGCAGCCCUGGAGAGAACGGCGCUCCUGGGCAGAUGGGUCCUCGCGGUCUUCCCGGCGAGAGAGGCCGCCCCGGUCCAUCCGGUCCCGCUGUGAGUAUCGG